rnacentral:rRNA from 1 species
AGCGAACGCUGGCGGCAGGCUUAACACAUGCAAGUCGAGCGGGCGUAGCAAUACGUCAGCGGCAGACGGGUGAGUAACGCGUGGGAACGUACCUUUUGGUUCGGAACAACACAGGGAAACUUGUGCUAAUACCGGAUAAGCCCUUACGGGGAAAGAUUUAUCGCCGAAAGAUCGGCCCGCGUCUGAUUAGCUAGUUGGUAGGGUAAUGGCCUACCAAGGCGACGAUCAGUAGCUGGUCUGAGAGGAUGAUCAGCCACAUUGGGACUGAGACACGGCCCAAACUCCUACGGGAGGCAGCAGUGGGGAAUAUUGGACAAGGGGGGCAACCCUGAUCCAGCCAUGCCGCGUGAGUGAUGAAGGCCCUAGGGUUGUAAAGCUCUUUUGUGCGGGAAGAUAAUGACGGUACCGCAAGAAUAAGCCCCAGCUAACUUCGUGCCAGCCGCCGCGGUAA